GUGUCAGCAGCCGCGGUAAUACGAGAGGUGCAAGCGUUGUCCGGAUUUAUUGGGCGUAAAGCGUUUCUAAAGGCGCUUUUGCAAGUUAUCUUUUAAAGACCGAAGCUCAACUUCGGGAGGGAGGAUAAUACUGCAAGAGUUGAAAUAUUUCGGGGUUACUGGAACUAUCGGUGUAGGGGUGAAAUCCGUUGAUAUCGAUAGGAACUCCAAGGGCGAAGGCAGGUAACUAGGAAUUUUUUGACGCUGAUGAACGAAAGCUAGGGGAGCGAAAGGGAUUAGAAACCCCUGUAGUCC
rnacentral:rRNA from 1 species